rnacentral:rRNA from 1 species
UACGAAGGGUGCAAGCGUUACUCGGAAUUACUGGGCGUAAGCGUGCGUAGGCGGUUCGUUAAGUCUGUCGUGAAAGCCCUGGGCUCAACCUGGGAAUUGCGAUGGAUACUGGCGAGCUAGAGUACGGUAGAGGAUGGUGGAAUUCCCGGUGUAGCGGUGAAAUGCGUAGAGAUCGGGAGGAACACCCGUGGCGAAGGCGGGUCUCUGGGCCGAUGACUGACGCUGAGGAGCGAAAGCGUGGGGAGCGAACAGGG